UUCGCAAGGUAAAAAAAGAAAAUAUUACAAAUUAAUACGUGAAGCCAGAUAGUCAACCAUGUUUCUACUCUUUUAUACCAAUUGUGUAUGAUGGCUCUUCAAGACGGAACAUGUUCCAUCAGUCGGUCUUGAGCUACUGAAACGUGAGGAGAGGUUAGAAUCAUUUCGUGCAUUGUUAUCGCGCAGUAGGAUUCAAAGUAAUUUUUAAUUGUAGCCUUCGUAACAAAAAUAUUUCGUUCAUUUCGUUCGAGGUAUUGAGAUACAUCCCCCUUGGUCAAAGUACAAUUCACAAUUCUCUAACAAUUUGCAUUUUAUACGUGACUUGACAUUUCAAACAAAAUAUAUCUAUGACAGGACGUACUCUAAGUGGGGAAAAAGAUGUGACAAUGAGAAAGUACUAAGGACAAGGGUGAUGAACGCACGCGAGACGAACCGUCGAACGCAUAGCGAGAAUCGAAUGAUUUAACGAUCCCAAAGCGACGAGAUGAUAUCAUGAAAUGAAUUACGCAAUGAGAAAUUGUUGAGCCGUCAACUUUUCAAAAAAUUUUUCAAGAUCGAACGUUGACUUCCUUUCUUGUCAUGCGACAACCGCGAUACGAUGAGAAACGGGACGAUAACCACACGUGCUGAUGUUUACGCGGAAGAGAUUCCUUGCACAUCUGACAGAGGUCGUGUCGUUAACACUUGCACAAUUGUCGUCGAAAUAGGCCGCUGCCGAGUCUCUUUAAACUCGCACGUUUAUUUGCGAUUAGAGUGUUUGUGUAAUUACGCUUAUCUUGGACAGUGAUUUUAUCAAACAUCUCGAAUAUUUAUGAAAACGUACUACGUUGGAUUUGAAGACAUUCUAUCUGACGAAUAUAUUUCUUUACUUUCUCAAUCAACGUUCUGAUCUGUACGUAAAUGCAACUAAUAUUCAUGUACAUAGUUGUAUAUACGUUAAUCUCUAAUCUACUAAUGUGAGACUGCUCAAGAUGAUCAGUAGACAGUGGAUUUGUUUAAUCUAAUCUACAAAAAAACGGGAUAAUAUAAAAAAUAUUCAAAGUAUGGGGUAUUAGGUAUUACAUAAAUAUUACAAGUACUAGAACCAAAAUAGUGGCUCUUCGUAAUUUAUUGAUAUUAGAUAAUUGCUUGUAGUAAUACUGAUGUAACGUGCAUGCAAAAUUCGUACGAAUCAGUGUUUAACACUCUCUUUUCAUCGAAUCUUAAUAUCUCGUGUCAAACGCUUUGUGGUGUCGAGUGACUUCCACGAAGGUAAAGAUGUAAUUUAAUCUGUCAUCUUUGAAGGUAAAAGAAAUAAGUGUGUGUGUGUGCGCGUCAGUAACACGUGUUAAUACUGUACUUUCAGACAUGACAUUCGUUUUCAGACAUAACAUCUACAAUUUCUAGUUUUUCAUGGAAAUGAAGAAAAAUCAAAGUUUAUGAUGUACGUAUAUAUAUCUACAUAGAUACAUACGUGCAGAUGUACAAAUGUAUCUAGUGUAUAUAUUGGAUCAAAAGUAAUACAUAUUUAAAUAUCUAUCAACAUUUUAUGUUCAUCUUUAAACGUACGUUGAAAAACAUAGUUUUUAAAAAUAUUUCUGGAAAACUUCUUGGCAAUACGAAAUAUUGAAUAAUUAUGUUAUUUAAUCGUACGUAUUUACAUUGUACAAGGUUGGAAUUAUCAUCUAGUAAAUUUUUUCCCGAAAACUAUUGACACGAGAGGUUUCAUUUUUUUCUGUGUCCAUUCUGUUUUAAAACCGGUUUUACGUAGGCUUGCUUAUACAUACAUACAUUAAAAGAUAUAAGACUAACUGAAGAGAACGUCCCUCGGCGAAAUCUCAUUAUAUGUAUCAGGAAAAAAGUUAAUGAUAAUUAUACGCAAUAUACGUUAUAUUUGCAAAGUACGAUAAAAUUGAUAUAUUAUUAUCUCUGUUUAUGUAAAAGUCCAGAAAUAGCUUCACUUUGAAUUAUAACAGUUCUGAGGGGAGAAAGAUAGAAAGAAAAAAAAGAGAUUAGGAGAUAGUUUAUUACUGUAAAUAAUUAUCUUCAGUAGCUUUUAAUAUUUUUCUAAUAAGUUUCAUAUAAUGUUAAUAAGGAACUUCGUAACGAUACAUGAGAGAAAAAAAUUAACGAUGGUAAAAAUACAUCCGGUCCUUAAUAUAUUAAGCAGUGGGAAUAUAGUGACAAGGAGAAGGGUGCAUCAGUUUCGACUAAUACGUAUUCGUUUGUAUUUUGAAUUGUAUUUAUAAUAUAUUUUUAGUCGUUAAAUUAUA